AGGACGAACGCUGGCGGCGUGCUUAACACAUGCAAGUCGAGCGGUAAGGCCCCUCCGGGGGCACACGAGCGGCGAACGGGUGAGUAACACGUGAGCAACCUGCCCCUGACUCCGGGAUAAGCGGUGGAAACGCCGUCUAAUACCGGAUACGACCCUCCGGCUCAUGCCGUGGGGGUGGAAAGUUUUUUCGGUUAGGGAUGGGCUCGCGGCCUAUCAGCUUGUUGGUGGGGUAAAGGCCUACCAAGGCGAUUACGGGUAGCCGGCCUGAGAGGGCGACCGGCCACACUGGGACUGAGACACGGCCCAGACUCCUGCGGGAGGCAGCAGUGGGGAAUCUUGCGCAAUGGGCGAAAGCCUGACGCAGCGACGCCGCGUGGGGGAUGACGGCCUUCGGGUUGUAAACUCCUUUUACCACUCACGCAGGCCCGGGGUUUUCUUCGGGUUGACGGUAGGUGGGGAAUUAGGACCGGCUAACUACGUGCCAGCAGCUGC
rnacentral:rRNA from 1 species